GUCUGAACGCGUGCAGCAAAUGUAAACAAUAAUAAGGCAGAGUCGAGGCCGCUUCAAAUUUCGAAUUUACUUCGUGGGAAAACUCGUCAAGCAAAACACAUUUUUGGCCCUGCGGGCAGUCGAAAGUUCAGGAGUUAAAAAGGAUAUCGUUGGCUCUUGAGGCUGAGGUUCUGCUGCACUUUGCCGCGUUCACCGUGGAGCUUUCAACCUGCUUUCAACCCUGUGUCUGCCUGUGCCGGCUACUGGAUGUCAAAGAUGUUUUCGAGAUUUCAAGAGGUGUCAGGGAAGAAAAAUCGAGCUGAAUUACGAAAAUUUGUAGAAAAUGCAUCAGCCGACGAGCUGUCAGAGAUGAUAACCGAAAGGAUUUGCAAUACGAGUGUGCUUAAAACAUUGGAUGAACUCCUUCAAGGAUUCACAGAUUCUGAAGGAUCUCAGACUAAAAAACGCAAAAUCAUUGAAUCUGUUUUAAAAUCACUGUGUAAAGUCGAAGCUACUGGAUCCCAUGUGAACAAUAUUGUCAAUCGAAUAGUGCAAGAUUUUCCUUCUGACUCCAAGGCCAAUCUUCUGAAACUCGCUGAAUUCUGUCAUGACAGGAUUCGUCUCAGGGAUGAUAAUUUUAUGAGCUGGAAAGACAUGUUGCCUAUAAUACUGCAGGUCCUGGAAGAAGAAAAGUACAUAAAUUACAAAGGUAACGAAGUGUCUGGAGCAGAAUACAAGUCGUUAAUCGUUCAAUCAAUUUGCAACAGUCCAUGGGAACCAGAAAUUUUAACAUCGCUGACACAACUUUUUCGGGAUAUAUCUUUGGAGAAAGCUGAUCACGAGCUCGUAAUUAGGGCUCUGUGUGAUAAAAUACGCGAUGUGGAAUUGAAUGGAAUCCCACCGUUGGUACACCAAUUAUUGAGACUCUGUUCCCCUCCUGAUGGCAAAUUACUUUUGGGAACAUUAAAAAAGUAUUUUGCUCUCAAAUACGCAGAAGUUGGGGAUUCUCAAAAUAUGGAUAGCCUCAACGACAUAGGGGUUGUGAGUUUGAAAGAAAUACAAGAAACUGAAAGUACAGUAAUAUAUCACAUAUAUCAAGCUGCACAAGUGAACCAUUCAAGACUCAAGGAUUUUGUAACGUCGCUAAAAAAAGUCACAAACGCACCAGAACAUAUUUUAGAUCCGUUUCUCAUAGGAGUGCUGUUGUCGGUGAUAAAUGUGUACGAGGAUCAGAUUUUGGAAAUACUGAAACAAGCUAUGUGCCGAAAAAUUCAGGACGAUGAGAAACGGAAGAACAGCGCGUGGCUCAGAAGUGUUUUACCGGAGGAUGGACGAAUUGUUGAAGUCAUCGAACAUGUGAUUGCCAACAGUAACAAAGACCGUCAUCUCGUACUACAAGGAUUAGUCGAACUCGCAUUUGUCCUUAUGGACACUGAUAGUCGAAUGAAAGACGAUGAGCAUCAAUUGAGUGAACUUGGCAUACGAAUAAUUCAAAAAUUGAUUCGCAAACGCCAUGAAAUUGGAGCAACCGUUUUACGAAAACUGGCCGAUAAAAUAAUCAGUGGUGGUUCAGCAAUUUCUCAGUAUACAGAAUGUUUGUCAUACAUUUGUCGAAAGUUGACCCUCGUCGUCCUGGACAAUCAGGCUUGGGUCAUAACCCUUCUGGAAUUAUUAAUGACAAUUCCAGGCGAUGCGGCAAAACAAGUUCUUCACGCGGUAUUACCAUUAAUGCGGAUAUCAGCGACAAUUCGAGAUUCCCUCGUUCUGGUUCUCAGGAAAGCUCUCUAUCGCAAAGGAACUCACACACGACAAAUGGCGGUCGUUGGAUUUUUGCAACUCUUGAAAAAUUCAAAAAUCAGUGAAAUAAAUACACUCAGUCAAUCGGGUCAAAGUUCGAGCACUAGCGCUUCAAGUUCGACCUCGAUAUUCACUCAGGUUACACUGGAAAGACGCGCGCAGUCAGCAAGCUCCAAUGCACGCUGCAACAUUGCUCUCUGUCUAGAAGUUUUAAGCAUUCUCAAACGCUGUUUCACUCACGAGGUCGAGGUUCGCACCAGUCUCUAUAAAGGUCUCUACGACACGGUGAUAAUGAAUCCUGAAUCAUCUGAAUACGUAAUGGACAUGUUGUUAAACCAUUUCGACGUUUUUUACGAAACUGAUGAGAACGUCAAGCCUCCGCUAAAAUUUCAUAUUUGUUCUAAUAUUAAUGGCGCCGAAGCUGUACUUCAGGAGCCUAUUGGCGAAUUGGUGUUCGUUAUACAAAGAAUUUACAUCAAAAUGGCUUCGAGAAGUUCGACUGCGUUGGAUAGAGCAGCGAUGAUUUUGGAGUCUCUUUGCAAAAGAACGACUCAAACGGAAUUGGAGCAUUUGAGCAUCGAUGACCAGACAGACUUAUUGGAUAAUGUUCCGAAGUCACAGCAAAAAUUGCACACUUUGAAGCUACUAAUCACAGUAUAUGAGGCCCUGAUGGCCUACAGAAUUGGUGGCUGGUCGACCGAGAGUGUACAGGUGUCGCAGAAUAUUAACAGUCUCUUCAAAAGUUACAGCGAGCUCGUAAAGUUCUGCACGAGGAUUUCUAAACCAAAGAAAGGUGACGGAAAAGCCAAAAAGGAUAAAGAUGGUAACGACACAACCUUGAACAAGCGGGCAGGCCGGCCCGUUGGUGUGAAACUUCCCAACACUAUUAUGAACUUAGAGACGAUUCACAAAAUGCUUUGUCUCCUUUACGAACCUUCGGUACCUUGGGCUACAAGAGAGCAAUCAGAAGUGUUGAAAAAACGCUCAGACUUUCACCACUAUAUUUUACAAACUGCCACACAACUGAUCCAAAGCGCCAAACUAUUGAAAAACGCCGAUCUCCAAAGACACAGAGAUUCGAAUAUCAAAGAUUACAUGGAAAUUGGAGAACUUCUCUACAAACGAAUAAUAUGCGACCUGGAUGAGAUUCGUAAUUUUGACCAGGAAACUGGAGUUUUUGGCUUGGAGUUAUUCAAGGAACUGUGCGAUUUCAUAUGUUCGUCGUCGCCUUCAGACCUCCCCAAAUUUCUCAGUUGUACAUGUCAGGUCGAGGCUUCUAGGGGUCUUCCAACACAAAUUCAACACUUGUUAAAAACGUUGCAAUCAUUAAUCGAUUCGUACUUCGAGGAAGAGAAAAGUGACGAGCCAAUAGAAAAAAAAAUACCAAUCAUAAUAUUGGACACGAUGUCGAUAAUGUUGCGCAGGGUCAGCUUCCAUAAUUCCCGGGCGAAUAAGGUUUUCGAGUGGCUGAAAAAUUUGGCUGAAACGAAAGAGGUCGAAACUCCAAUUGCAACUAUUUUUGUUCAACUGUUAUCGAUGAUGGAAGAACGCGACGCUGAAAAUGGCAUCACGGUCGAUGCAUUGUGUAUGGAAUUGUGUGACAAACUUGGCACCAUUGUUAAGAGCGACGACACGACAACCGAGAGUUUCAAAUGUUUGAGCGAAUCCUCAGCCGUCCAAGCUCAUGGGAUUUUGAACGCUGCUAUUAAAAAUAAACUCAGUAACGCCUCGUGGCUGUUAGCAAGGCUCAAGUCUGAACAGUGCAUAGCUAGCUCCCCAGGAUUGGGCGACGAAACUGAGAAAAACUGCGAGAAAAAGAGCGAAGCCUCUGUCGACAAUUGUCUUACAUCAUUCAAAUGCAAAGAUCUUUGGCUACGGCAGCGAUUGAUCCAGGACCAAACACGGACUCUACUUUCAAGAACCUUCAGCAGUUAUACAAGCUCCUCAGCGAUUUGACGAAAUACUUUUACAAUAAAUCUACCCCGCAAAAUCCGGCCUUUCAGUCAGUCAAAUUCGUUCAAGUGGUCGAGCUUGCGGGCAAAUCUCUGAAACUGGAUUUCUACAAUCUGAUAACACACACCGACGUAAGA
rnacentral:misc_RNA from 1 species